CUGGGGCCACGGGGCUGGCUGGGAAAAUCCAUGGCAAGUGCUGCAACAUCACAUCAGGAUGGACCAAAGCAGCCCCACAUUCAGCCCCCACCUCGCCUUGGAGGGGGACAUCCAACAGCUUCACUUGGUGCUGUGCCCACCUACCAAAGCCUGACAUUUUUACAGGUCAAGAGAGGAAGCCACAUCCCUGCCUUGCUGCAGGACUUCCUCCCUGGGCCAUCAUGCCACCCCUUAGCAGCAUGUGGUUGCCUUCACAUGUUUAUGAACACAAAUGAAUUUAGCACAGAGGCACUUGGACACAGACAACGUUUCACCAGCUGAAAGAUUUAGAUGUCCAGUGAAAGCUAAGCUCAGCCUUUUGCCCCUUCCUAGAGAGCGUGGGAUAAACUGCCAGCUGGGUCUCCCUCUGCCCUCUGUAAAUCGAGCCCAGAAGAUCAGCCUGGCUUCAGCUGUUGUCAUCUGCCUUCACACAUGCUUUGUGCUGCUCCCCCUGGUUCCAGAUGGCCAGAGAGAAGAAGAUAGACAGAGAUCACAGUGCAGGCACUAUGGAGCAGCCCCAGCAGCCUGGAGAAGAGACAAUCCAUUUUUCCCUUUCUGGGAUCAUCCUGUUGUGUGUUUCCUGACUAUGCAGACGUGGUAUAGCUGAUAGACUGGCCCUUAUAUGUGUGUUUUUAUGGAUAAGCCUGUCCAGCUGCUUAUUCCUGCAGCAUGGAGCGUGGCCCUGUGUGCUUCCAUCUUCCCAGAGCUUCUCUCCAGAAGGAUUUGCACUGCACACAAUGCAAACCUUCCAUUUCAACCAUUCUGGCUGGCGACAGGAUGGCCUCAGUGUUGUUUACAGUUGCAAUAAUAGGUAAAAAAUAUUCAUGUUGGAGGGUCAUCUCAUGGGGCUCAGUGAAGACCUGCUCCCAAAUACUACAGAGCAUGGGCACAGUCAACUUUUGUCAUUUGGUGCCCAUGUCUCAUCACUCUCACACCCAAGAAUUUCUUCCCAAUGUCUAAUCAAAUCUUGCCCUCUGUCAGUUUCAAGCCUUUAUCCCUUGUACUAUCACAACACACCCUGUAAAGAGUCCCUCUCCAGCCUUCUUCUAGCCCCCUUUAGGCACUGUAAGGCUGCUGUCAUUGUAACCACUGCUUCACUGGUUCCCAUUCUUGGUUUUCCCAAGGCUGUAGUAGAUUUUCAGGAAGUUGCAUCAUCUGAAAGGGUCACUGGAUGAAAGGUUCAAUUUGUAAAUGCAUAUUCAAAUCUGGAGGACUUCAGUGCAAAGCAGACCCUUAGACCUGUAAGGGAAAUGUGAGCAGCAUAUACAUGAUUUCAGGCUGCAACAAAAAAUCCAAUCUCUGUCAGCAUUAUGACUUGCCAUCCUUCAUAGUACUAUGAAUUUGGAAGCUGAAAGAAAAAUGGGGAACUUUGGAAGUUCUCUAGUAGCUAUUACGGGAAGUGGUAUAGCUGUAUUCAAAUAAAUGUGUCCCACUUCCAACA